rnacentral:lncRNA from 1 species
CAAACAGCCAUAUAUCAUCUUGAUCUUGUCUAACACAGGUCAGCAAAGCUUUCUGCUGCUGCUUUUGCUGAAGACACCUCUAAGUCCGCUCUAGUCUUUCUCCAAGGGCCUGCAGAGGCCAGAGGCAACCCUCUGCCUUGCUUCGUCGCGUCCCAUGGUGUUCAUUCAUAGAGCUUCUUUUCACUCUCGAAAGAUUUCUUGCUGUGUGAGAUAAGUUACCACUGACUAGAGCAAUCACCACACGGGUGUUCCUAACCAAACUCCUGAGUUCCCCUUCCCUCAUUCCCAAACCUGCAUGUUCCCUUGUCGUCCCUGUCUUGGAUGAUGGCUUUCCAUCACC